CUUAAUUUACAUGUAAUGAAUAUAAAGCAGCUUUCUUCACCACUGGCUCUUUGACUUCUUUCCUGGCCCAAGCCAAGAGCCCUCAGCGGCUAAGCCCUGUUGUGGGGGCUCACCUGCCCUGCAUCACUUGUAGGUGGAAAUCAAGGUGAUGCAAGGCAGGUGAGCCCCCACAACAGGGCUCACCUGGCAGGGCUGCAGUCCUCUCUGGAGGCUCUGGGAGAAUCCAUGCGCAGGCUCAUCCGGGCUGUUGACAGAUCCAGUUAUCCUGUCCCUCUUGGACAGAUGGGUGUGUAUUUACCCAUAUGGGGGCCACCUCAGCUGCAUCCCAUAGAGUUGCCACCCAGACCUCAGUCAGGACCUUUCAGGCCAGGCGGGAGCGCCCAACCGAAGGCUUCACAGCUGCCCUCACCACCCAGCCUUCAACGGUGUCCAGAGAGGGUCAGCCAGGCCUGGGUUGGGCACGCUCUACCUUCCCCAGUCACCAGCCUGUUUCCUGGAGGAGAAGGCUGAGACCCGAGAAGGGAGGUGAGUGCACCCCGUCCCAUGUCAGGCUCCGCUGUAUCCCC
rnacentral:lncRNA from 1 species